UACAUAUUUUUAUUCUGGAAGUAUAGACCUGAAACCUUCUGAAGGUUAUAUAUGUGAACUGAGUCCUUGUCAGAAUGGAGGUAAUUGUACACUUGUUUCAGCUCCUUCUAAUUACACCUGUGAUUGUACUACUGGCUAUCAAGGAGUUAAUUGCUCAACCCUUAUUCCAUGUAAAACUGGAUCAAUC